rnacentral:lncRNA from 1 species
CGUCCUUUCAGUGACCUCCAGUAUUGCCCAUGCCCCCUCUCUCAGGUCAGGGCCCCAGCAAGAAGGCAGCCAAGCACAAGGCAGCUGAGGUGGCCCUCAAACACCUCAAAGGGGGGAGCAUGCUGGAGCCGGCCCUGGAGGACAGCAGUUCUUUUUCUCCCCUAGACUCUUCACUGCCUGAGGACAUUCCGGUUUUUACUGCUGCAGCAGCUGCUACCCCAGUUCCAUCUGUAGUCCUAACCAGGAGCCCCCCCAUGGAACUGCAGCCCCCUGUCUCCC